rnacentral:rRNA from 1 species
GAUGAACGCUGGCGGCGUGCUUAACACAUGCAAGUCGAACGAAGCACUUUAUUUGAUUUCCUUCGGGACUGAUUAUUUUGUGACUGAGUGGCGGACGGGUGAGUAACGCGUGGGUAACCUGCCUUGUACAGGGGGAUAACAGUUGGAAACGGCUGCUAAUACCGCAUAAGCGCACAGCAUCGCAUGAUGCAGUGUGAAAAACUCCGGUGGUAUAAGAUGGACCCGCGUUGGAUUAGCUAGUUGGUGAGGUAACGGCCCACCAAGGCGACGAUCCAUAGCCGACCUGAGAGGGUGACCGGCCACAUUGGGACUGAGACACGGCCCAAACUCCUGCGGGAGGCAGCAGUGGGGAAUAUUGCACAAUGGGCGAAAGCCUGAUGCAGCGACGCCGCGUGAGCGAAGAAGUAUUUCGGUAUGUAAAGCUCUAUCAGCAGGGAAGAUAAUGACG